GGGUUUGAGGCAGUUGCGUUGGUUUUGCAAAAACCAAAGUGGGGGUACCCCAAACCUU
rnacentral:tRNA from 1 species